rnacentral:ncRNA from 2 species
GACUCUGGAGAAGCCCGCCCGCGCGGCGGGGGCCGAAGGUGCAAGGCGGCAGGCCGCCGAAACUCUCAGGCAAAAGGACAGAGU